GAUGAACGCUGGCGGCGUGCUUAACACAUGCAAGUCGAACGGUGAAGCAGAGCUUGCUCUGUGGAUCAGAGGCGAACGGGUGAGUAACACGUGAGCAACCUGCCCCUGACUCUGGGAUAAGCGCUGGAAACGGCGUCUAAUACUGGAUAUGAGCUGCGACCGCAUGGUCAGCAGUUGGAAAGAUUUUUCGGUCUGGGAUGGGCUCACGGCCUAUCAGCUUGUUGGUGAGGUAAUGGCUCACCAAGGCGUCGACGGGUAGCCGGCCUGAGAGGGUGACCGGCCACACUGGGACUGAGACACGGCCCAGACUCCUACGGGAGGCAGCAGUGGGGAAUAUUGCACAAUGGGCGAAAGCCUGAUGCAGCAACGCCGCGUGAGGGAUGACGGCCUUCGGGUUGUAAACCUCUUUUAGCAGGGAAGAAGCGAAAGUGACGGUACCUGCAGAAAAAGCGCCGGCUAACUACGUG
rnacentral:rRNA from 1 species